UACGUAGGGGGCGAGCGUUGUCCGGAAUUACUGGGCGUAAAGGGUACGCAGGCGGCCAAAUAAGUCAGAUGUGAAAGGUCACGGCUCAACCGUGGUAAGCAUUUGAAACUGUAUGGCUUGAGUUAAGGAGAGGAAAGUGGAAUUCCUGGUGUAGCGGUGAAAUGCGUAGAUAUCAGGAGGAAUACCAGUGGCGAAGGCGACUUUCUGGACUUAAACUGACGCUGAGGUACGAAAGCGUGGGGAGCAAACAGGAUUAGAUACCC
rnacentral:rRNA from 1 species